rfam:Nomascus leucogenys chromosome 2, whole genome shotgun sequence.
GCCCUCUUAGCGCAGUGGGCAGCGCGUCAGUCUCAUAAUCUGAAGGUCCUGAGUUCGAGUCUCAGAGAGGGCA